CGAGCUAGAUCCGUGAGGGGUAGUGGAAUUCCCUGUGACGCGGUGAAAUGGUGUGUAUAUGGGAGGGACCCCCGUGGGCGAGGGCGACUCCCGGGAUUGAUACUGCCACUGAGGUGCGGAAAGCGUGGGGAGCCAACAGGGAUUAGAUUCCCUGGUAGUCCACGCCCGUAAACGAUGUCAACUAGCCGUUGGGUACCUUGAGUACUUAGUGGCGCAGCUAACGCAUAAAGUUGACCGCCUGGGGAGUACGCGCGCACGGUUAAAACUCAAAUGAAUUGACGGGGGGCCGCACAAGCGGUGGAGCAUGUGUUUUAUUUCGAAGGCACCGCGGAGGAGCCUUACCUGGCCUUGACAUGCUGAGAACUUUCCAGAGAUGGAUUGGUGCCUUCUGGAACUCAGACACAGGUGUGCAUGGCUGUCGUCAGCUCGUGUCGUGAGAUGUGGGUUAAGUCUCGUAACGAGCGCAACCCUUGUCCUUAGUUACCAGCACGUUAUGGUGGGCACUUUUAAGGAGACUCCCGGUGCCAAACCGGAGGAAGGUGGGGAUGACGUCAAUUCAUCAUGGCCCUUACGGCCAGGGCUACACACGUGCUACAAUGGUCGGUACAAAGGGUUCCCAAGCCGCGAGGUGGAGCUAAUCCCAUAAAACCGUUCUUAUUCCUUAUCCCAUUCUCCAACUCGCCUCCGGAAGUCGGAAUCGCUAGUAAUCGGAAUCAGAAGUCACAUGCAAAUCAC
rnacentral:rRNA from 1 species